rnacentral:rRNA from 1 species
GGAGGUAGUGACAAUAAAUCUCAAUACGAAGCCUUUGGUUUUGUAAUUGAAUUGAGAACAAUGUACAAUCGUUAUCGAUAAACAAUUGGAGGGCAAGUCUGGUGCCAGCAGCCGCGGUAAUUCCAGCUCCAAUAGCGUAUAUUAACGUUGUUGCAGUUAAAAAGCUCGUAGUUGAAGUUUAGAUAAUUUAUUGAAAGUGUUUGUAUUCGUACAUUCUACUUUUAUGUAAGUUAUCGACAUCCAGGUGGGUGCCAUGGUUCCGCAAGGAAUCGUGAUACUAGACUGGUCAUUUACUGUGAGAAAAUUAGAGUGUUUAAAGCAGACUUUUAUCAAAAUAGUUUGAAUAGAUUAGCAUGGAAUAAUAAGAUUGGCUUUCAUAGUCGAUUUUUUGGUUUGUUUAUGAAAGCAAGAUUAAUAGGGACAGUUGGGGGUAUUCAUAUUCAAUAGCUAGAGGUGAAAUUCUAUGAUUUAUGGAAGAUGAACAAGUGCGAAAGCA